GUGCAAAGGUAGCAUAAUCAUUAGGUUUUUAAUUGGGAUCUUGUAUGAAUGAUUGGACAAGAGAAGUACUGUCUUUGUAUUGAAACUUGAAUUUAACUUUUAAGUGAAAAGGCUUAAAUAUACUAGAGGGACGAUAAGACCCUAUAAAACUUUACAUUUAUAUUAAAUUUUAUGGAAUUUGAAGAUUAUAAUUAUUAAAUUUAAUUUUUUGUUAUGUUGGGGAGACAAAAGCUAUAAUUAUGUAUAACUGCUUUUUAAGGGAAACAAAAAUAAAUGGAGAAAUUAAAGAUCCUUUAUUGAGAUUGUAAGAUUAAGUUACUUUAGGGAUAACAGCGUUAUUUUUUUUGAGAGUUCAUAUUGAAAAAAGAGAUUGCGACCUCGAUGUUGAAUUAAAAUAUCUUU
rnacentral:rRNA from 1 species